GUAACGCGUGAGUAACCUGCCUUUCAGAGGGGGAGUAACGUUCUGAAAAGAACGCUAAUACCGCAUAACAUCAAUUUAUCGCAUGAUAGGUUGAUCAAAGGAGCAAUCCGCUGGAAGAUGGACUCGCGUCCGAUUAGCCAGUUGGCGGGGUAACGGGCCCACCAAAGCGACGAUCGGUAGCCGGACUGAGAGGUUGAACGGCCACAUUGGGACUGAGACACGGCCCAGACUCCUACGGGAGGCAGCAUG
rnacentral:rRNA from 1 species